UGAGGAAUAUUGGUCAAUGGGCGAGAGCCUGAACCAGCCAAGUAGCGUGCAGGAUGACGGCCCUAUGGGUUGUAAACUGUUUUUACGUGGGGAUAAAGUGCGUGACGUGUCAUGCAUUGCAGGUACCACAUGAAUAAGGACCGGCUAAUUCCGUGCCAGCAGCCGCGGUAAUUCGGAAGGUCCGGGCGUUAUCCGGAUUUAUUGGGUUUAAAGGGAGCGUAGGCUGUCUAUUAAGCGUGUUGUGAAAUAUACCGGCUCAACCGGUGGCUUGCAGCGCGAACUGGUCGACUUGAGUAUGCAGGAAGUAGGCGGAAUUCAUGGUGUAGCGGUGAAAUGCUUAGAUAUCAUGACGAACUCCGAUUGCGCAGGCAGCUUACUGUAGCAUAACUGACGCUGAUGCUCGAAAGUGCGGGUAUCAAACAGG
rnacentral:rRNA from 1 species